UAUUACCAAGAUGAAAAAGGGACUAUCGGGGAUGACUAGCCAAUACAUCCAAAGGAGGUAUUUAUACCAAAAAUCGUAAUGAAUGAUUUGAUAAUUACGAUAAUCCUAAGGGAAACCAAUUAAAUAAUUACUCUACGAACUGAAACAUCUAAGUAGUAGAAGGAAAAGAAAUCAACCGAGAUCUUGUUAGUAGUGGUGAGCGAAAGCAAGUUAGCCUAUUUUUAGUAAGUUUCAAAAAUUAAAAUUUUUGGAACUAAAAUUUAAUUAUAAUUUGUUUGGAAUAACAAACCAUAGAGGGUGAAAGUCCCGUAAUAAAAUAAAUUAGUACUAAAAAAUAAUAAGUAAGAUGAGAGAUAACUUGUCUGAAUAUAGGGGAACCAUCCUCUAAGGCUAAAUAUGAUGUAUUGAGCGAUAGUGAAGAGUACCGUGAGGGAAAGUUGAAAAGAAAGUAGAUAACUGGUGAAAAGAUCCUGAACCGGUAGUUCUAUAAGCAACAGAAAUCUUAGUUUAAAUACAAGAUGACUGUGUACCUUUUGCAUAAUGGGUCAGCGAGUUAAUCUGUGGUGCAAGUAGAAAUACUUAGCGAAAGCGACUACGUUAAAUGGGUAAGUACCAUGGAUUAGACCCGAAACCAGGUGAUCUUAUCAUGACCAGGUCAUUAAGGACCGAACCAGUGUUUGUGGCAAUAAACUUGGAUGAGUUGUGAUAAGCAGAGAAAGUCAAAUCUGACCUGGAGAUAGCUGGUAUUCCGCGAAACAUAUUUUGGUAUGUUGUCCUUCGUAUCUAUAAACUGGUACAGCACUGGAUACUAUGUCCCUUGUGGACUUGAUUGGGGGGUCGUGAUGGCUCUAUCAAUAGAAUCGGUUGUAAAACCGAUUCCCAAAUAAUUUUAUUUGGGAAUCUAACCUCAGAAUAGUUUAUAGUUAAUAAAGGACGGUCAGACUAUAGGUGCUAAGGUCUUUAGUCGAGAGGGAAACAGCCCAGAACAAAAAUUAAGGUCCCUAAAUACUACUAAGUGAAAUUAAGGUAGUCCAUAAAAUUACACAACCAUUCGGUGGGCUUGGAAGCAGCCAUCCGUUAAUGAAAGCGUAAUAGCUCAAUGGUCUGUAAUAAUAAAUUUUAAGGGCACCGACAAUGUAUCGGGUCUAAGUAGUAUACCGAGAUUUUGUCUCAAUGAAAUUUCAUUGAAGGGUAGCGGAACACUCAGGACAUGGUUGAAGGAUAGGGUUUCCUUAUCUGGACAUAACUGAGGAGAGAAUGCUGACAUGAGUAACGUAAAAAUAGGUAAGAUCCUAUUCGCCGAAAGCAGAAGGGUUUCAUGGCUGGGCUCAACCGCCAUGAGUAAAGUAACGGCCUCUAAGGUUUUUUAAACAAUCGGUUAUUAAUAAAUUAUACCUUACUUGAAAAAGUAGGAUCUAAUUUAUUAAUAACUUUUAGGAUUGGAACUCCGAUAGGAGUAACCGAUGAGAAAAACUAAUUUAAAUAACAAUUUUAAAUUUAUACAUAUCGGUAACGGUAUAGUUAUAAUUUAAAAUUCAGGAAAUGAUUUACCUUAUGCAAUGAUAUAUAUCAUUUGUAUGGGAUUAAUUUUUAACCGUACCCUAAACCGACACUGGUCUGCUGGUAGAAUAUACCAAGGCGUUGAGCGAAUCAUCUUGAAGGAACUCGGCAAAAUAACCCCGUAACUUCGGGAGAAGGGGUACGACUUUUAUGGUCGUGGCACAGAAUAGAAGAGUACGACUGUUUACUUAAAACACAGGUCUUUGCUAAUAGGAAACUAGAUGUAUAAAGACUGAUACCUGCUCAGUGCUGGUAAGUCAAGAGAGGUACUAAUACGGUACUGAUUGAACCUCCAGUAAACAGCGGUUGUAACUAUAACGAUCCUCAGGUAGCGAAAUACCUUGGCCACUAAUUAUGGUCGUGCAUGAAUGGUUUAACGAUACUCUUACUGUCUCCAAGAUGAGCUCAGUGAAAUUGAAUUAUCCGUGCAGAUGCGGAUUACCAUUAGCUAGACGGGAAGACCCUAUGCAGCUUUACUGUAGUUAGUCAUUGUAUGCUUAUAAUUAAGGUGUAGAAUACAAGGGAGUCGAUUAGACAUCAGUGAAAUACCUUGACUUAAUUAGGAGCAUGCUAAACCAAAUAAAUUUUGGGACAGUGAUUAAUGGGCAGUUUAUCUGGGGCGGAUUUCUCCCAUAUAGUACCGGAGAAGUACAAAGGUCGGCUUAAAUUGGAUGGAAACCAAUGGGCUAAAGAGAGCCUAAUUAAGUGUAAUGGCAUAAGCCGGCUUAACUGUAAGACUGACAAGUCAUACAGAUACGCAAGUAGGUCAUAGUGAUCCGGUGGUCCAUUAUGGAAUGGCCAUCGCUCAACGAAUAAAAGCUACGCUAGGGAUAACAGGCUGAUCAAUCCCGAGAGUCCAUAUUGACGGAUUGGUUUGGCACCUCGAUGUCGACUCAUCACAUCCUGGGGGUGUAGGUGCUCCCAAGGGUUCGGCUGUUCGCCGAGUAAAGUGGUACGUGAGUUGGGUUAAGUACGUCGUGAGACAGUACGGUUCCUAUCUACUAAUGGAAUUAGAAUCAGACAAGAACCUUGCUCUAGUACGAGAGGACCGAGUUAGAUGAACCUCUGGUAUACCUGUUAUUGUUUACUACCUAUAAAUAGGUUUGUUACAGUACGGCAGGAAAGCUACGUUCAGAAAGGAUAACUGCUGAUAGCGUCUUAAGCGGGAAGCCUAUCUUGGCAUGAUUCUUUAAUAAAGUGACUGUAGAUCACAGUUUUGAUAGGUUGCAGGUGUAAGCGGAGUAAUCCGUUAAGCUGGGCAAUACUAAAUUCUUAAGUAACUUGG
rnacentral:rRNA from 1 species